rnacentral:rRNA from 1 species
GAGUUUGAUCGUGGCUCAGGAUGAACGCUAGCUACAGGCUUAACACAUGCAAGUCGAGGGGCAUCAGUUUGGUUUGCUUGCAAACCAAAGCUGGCGACCGGCGCACGGGUGAGUAACACGUAUCCAACCUGCCGUCUACUCUUGGACAGCCUUCUGAAAGGAAGAUUAAUACAAGAUGGCAUCAUGAGUCCGCAUGUUCACAUGAUUAAAGGUAUUCCGGUAGACGAUGGGGAUGCGUUCCAUUAGAUAGUAGGCGGGUAACGGCCCACCUAGUCUUCGAUGGAUAGGGGUUCUGAGAGGAAGGUCCCCCACAUUGGAACUGAGACACGGUCCAAACUCCUACGGGAGCAGCAGUGAGGAAUAUUGGUCAA